rnacentral:rRNA from 1 species
GAUGAACGCUAGCUACAGGCUUAACACAUGCAAGUCGAGGGGAAACGACAUCGAAAGCUUGCUUUUGAUGGGCGUCGACCGGCGCACGGGUGAGUAACGCGUAUCCGACCUGCCCACCACUUGGGGAUAACCUUGCGAAAGUAAGACUAAUACCCAAUGAUAUCUCUAGAAGACAUCUGAAAGAGAUUAAAGAUUUAUCGGUGAUGGAUGGGGAUGCGUCUGAUUAGCUUGUUGGCGGGGUAACGGCCCACCAAGGCAACGAUCAGUAGGGGUUCUGAGAGGAAGGUCCCCCACAUUGGAACUGAGACACGGUCCAAACUCCUACGGGAGGCAGCAGUGAGGAAUAUUGGUCAAUGGACGAGAGUCUGAACCAGCCAAGUAGCGUGCAGGAAGACGGCCCUAUGGGUUGUAAACUGCUUUUAUAAGGGAAUAAAGUGAGUCUCGUGAGACUUUUUGCAUGUACCUUAUGAAUAAGGACCGGCUAAUUCCGUG